rnacentral:rRNA from 1 species
CCUACGGGAGGCUGCAGUGGGGAAUAUUGGACAAUGGGCGAAAGCCUGAUCCAGCCAUGCCGCGUGUGUGAAGAAGGCCUUCGGGUUGUAAAGCACUUUCAGUGGGGAAGAAAGCCUUGGGGCUAAUACCCUCGAGGAAGGACAUCACCCACAGAAGAAGCACCGGCUAACUCCGUGCCAGCAGCCGCGGUAAUACGGAGGGUGCGAGCGUUAAUCGGAAUUACUGGGCGUAAAGCGCGCGUAGGCGGUCUGAUAAGCCGGUUGUGAAAGCCCCGGGCUCAACCUGGGAACGGCAUCCGGAACUGUCAGGCUAGAGUGCAGGAGAGGAAGGUAGAAUUCCCGGUGUAGCGGUGAAAUGCGUAGAGAUCGGGAGGAAUACCAGUGGCGAAGGCGGCCUUCUGGACUGACACUGACGCUGAGGUGCGAAAGCGUGGGUAGCAAUCAGGAUUAGAUACCCCAGUAGUC